rnacentral:rRNA from 1 species
CAGUAGCCGCGGGAAUACGAAGGGGGCUAGCGUUACUCGGAAUUACUGGGCGUAAAGGGCGCGUAGGCGGCACGAUUAGUCAGGCGUGAAAUUCCUGGGCUCAACCUGGGGACUGCGCUUGAUACGGUCGAGCUAGAGGAUGGAAGAGGGUUGUGGAAUUCCCAGUGUAGAGGUGAAAUUCGUAGAUAUUGGGAAGAACACCGGUGGCGAAGGCGGCAACCUGGUCCAUUACUGACGCUGAGGCGCGACAGCGUGGGGAGCAAACAGGAUUAGAUACCCGCAUAGUCCCUGUCUCUUAUAC